UACGAAGGGGGCGAGCGUUGUUCGGAAUCACUGGGCGUAAAGGGCGCGUAGGCGGCCCUUCUUGUCGCGUGUGAAAGCCCCGGGCUCAACCUGGGAACCGCGCUUGAGACUGGCGGGCUAGAGUUCGGGAGAGGAUGGUGGAAUUCCCAGUGUAGAGGUGAAAUUCGUAGAUAUUGGGAAGAACACCCGUGGCUAAGGCGGCUCUCUAGUACGGUACUGACGCUGAGACGCGAAAGCGUGGGGAGCGAACAGG
rnacentral:rRNA from 1 species